rnacentral:rRNA from 2 species
UAAAAGUCGUAACAAGGUUUCCGUAGGUGAACCUGCGGAAGGAUCAUUACCUAGAGUUGUAGGCUUUGCCUGCUAUCUCUUACCCAUGUCUUUUGAGUACCUUACGUUUCCUCGGUGGGUUCGCCCACCGAUUGGACAAACUUAAACCCUUUGCAGUUGAAAUCAGCGUCUGAAAAAACUUAAUAGUUACAACUUUCAACAACGGAUCUCUUGGUUCUGGCAUCGAUGAAGAACGCAGCGAAAUGCGAUAAGUAGUGUGAAUUGCAGAAUUCAGUGAAUCAUCGAAUCUUUGAACGCACAUUGCGCCCCUUGGUAUUCCAUGGGGCAUGCCUGUUCGAGCGUCAUUUGUACCUUCAAGCUCUGCUUGGUGUUGGGUGUUUGUCUCCUGUAGACUCGCCUUAAAACAAUUGGCAGCCGGCGUAUUGAUUUCGGAGCGCAGUACAUCUCGCGCUUUGCACUCAUAACGACGACGUCCAAAAGUACAUUUUUACACUCUUGACCUCGGAUCAGGUAGGGAUACCCGCUGAACUUAAG